rnacentral:rRNA from 1 species
UACGGAGGGUGCAAGCGUUAUCCGGAUUCACUGGGUUUAAAGGGUGCGUAGGUGGGUUGGUAAGUCAGUGGUGAAAUCCCCGAGCUUAACUUGGGAACUGCCAUUGAUACUAUUAAUCUUGAAUACCGUGGAGGUUAGCGGAAUAUGUCAUGUAGCGGUGAAAUGCUUAGAUAUGACAUAGAACACCAAUUGCGAAGGCAGCUGGCUACACGAAUAUUGACACUGAUGCACGAAAGCGUGGGAGCAAACAGG